AUGGUGGCCGUGCCCUUGCGCGGCGGCGAAGAAGACGGCGGCGUCGUCGGGGUAGUAGCUGCAGCCCUCGUCGCUGCCCGCGCCGUCGUCCUCCUCCGACUGGAUGCCGCCCGCCACGGGGCCCAUCACGCACUCGUGGUACUCGUCGCCGCCGGCGCCCCCCGGGAAGCAGUACGAGUCCACGCUGCUGUCCACCACGCCGGCGAGACCGCAUCCGCUCCCGAGCAGCGCGUCCCUCGCGUCCAGCACCGCGCUCCCGCCGCUCCCCGGGCUCAGCCUCUCCUCGUCCUUCACAUGCAGCUGCUGCUGCACCACCUCGAACGCCUCCGCUGCCGCGGCAUGUUCCUCGGCGUUGGCCAAGGAAGCCUUCGCCUCCGCCGCCGCCUGCUCCGGCUCCAAGGCGUCGACGGCUGCACCGAAGCUGCCUUCCGGCGCCUCCUUAUCUUGCAUCUUCUCGGUCAACGUUACCACCUGACGGCACAAAGCUGUGACCGGAGCCGGUGGUUGUCCUGGAGGAGGGCGUCGUGGUCGGCCCGGAGGGCGUCGAAGGACGCCUUGAGGCGGUCGAAGUCGCGCUCCAGCGUCUUUGUCUUCCACCGGGCGCGGCGGUUCUGGAACCAGACGGCCACCUGGCGUGGCUGCAGCCCGAGCUUGCGGGCCAGCUCCGUCUUCCUCUCCGGCUCCAGCUUAUUCUCCUCCUCGAACAUGUCAUCCGGCGAGGUGAAGAAGGGCCGCUUCACGCCGCGCCCUUCUUCCAUGCCGCCGAGGACCGGUCUCACCCCUUCAUCACUCAAACAUGGCAACCCCAAUCAGUACACCAAUCACUCUCCACUCUCCACACAAUCAAGAAGGCGAGACCUACUAACGAACCAAACAACCGGGAUCGAGAAAACUAGUAGUGGAUGA
rnacentral:rRNA from 1 species